ensembl:lincRNA 4930563E18Rik RIKEN cDNA 4930563E18 gene
AGACGCCAGCUGGAACGCCCGGAGACCAUGGACCCCCAGUGUCCCUUCAGAGCCAGGAGAGAGCGGGCGAGCUAGACGAAAACAGGCCGGGCCGCCACUUGACCUUGAAUUAGUAGACUCGGCCCAGCUCGGGAGGCCGCAGUUUGCAGAGGGCCCGCACUUGCUCCAGAAUCCAAAGCAGACGCGGAAGGAGAGCUUGCACAACGCAGGGAGAGUAUCCUCUGUCCCACUGGAGCUUGCGUCUCUAGGGAGAUUGUUUAAAGAAAAAAACAUCCCAUCAAUUGCAAGACACUCACGUUGGACUUUCAAUCUCUCGGUGAAUCUUUUAAAUAGCUAAGGACUAUUAAAUGAGAACUAGGUCUAGAACUGGUAAUAGGAUUCAAUCAUGUGGCUGAUUAAUUAACUCACAGGCUUUGCCUUGGUCAUUGAAGCUAACUGGAGUUGGUCUCCAGAAUAACUGUUCACCUCCAGAAUAACUGUUCACCUUCACUGAGAAAGGCUCCCUGGAUAUCGCUGUCUCACUUUGUUUUGUUUUUGUUUCUCUAGACCAGCACUUCUCAAUCUGUGGGACUUGACCACUUUGGUGGUAGAACGACCCUUUCACAGGGGUGGCAUAUCCAAUAUCCUGUAUAUCAGAUAUUUACAUUAUGAUUCACGACAGUAGCACAGUUCACUACUUUCACUGAAAAUAGUUAAGAGACCAGCCUGGGCUACAGGAGACUCUGCCCUCUUCCCCAGUGUUGCAGAGCGGGACCCAUGAUGACAAUGAUCCUGCUUUUUGAUUUGUUCUUGAGCUCCUGGUUUUAUUGUUUUUCCUCUGUGUGUGUGUGUGUGUGUGUGUGUGUGUGUGUGUGUGUGUGGUUCUGGGGAUUGAGCCCACAGUCCCAUGCAAUAUUGAAAGUGCUCCUCUGUCAUGUUAUAUCCUCAGCUCUCAUUUUCAACUACAAUCUAUAGUGAAAGGUAACUGGAGAAGAAUUUCUGAAAAUAAGUGAGCGCAUACUUAAAAGUUAGCCCAGCUUGUGGUUGCUAUUACAGAGGAGGCAGAGUGUGAGAGUGGCUGAUAGAGGAAAGAGGCUGUGUUUCUGGAAACUGGAAGUCCAGGUUGAAGGACCUCAUCUGACAAGGGUCUCAUACAUGGCCAACAUCAGAAAGGCAGCAGGCUGUGCAGAAGAGGCAAACAGAAGUGCUCGCAAAAUGUCUGCUCUUUAGCACCUACCCAGUCCCAUGAAACCAAAGACUUACUGCCUCAAGAAUGAACUGAGUCCUUCCAGAAAGGGAGGAACCCUCUUGACAACCCAAUGACCUCUUCAAGUCCUCACUCAUAUUAGGGACAAAAUUUUGACAUCAAUUUCAAAGACAUGAUUCCCUUCUGUGGUCAAGGCUGACUUGGAAUUCAGUGCUGGAAUUAUAGAGAAUUCCAGAACAGAGAAGCAGAAGCAGACGAUGAAAACAAGUCAGGUGUUACUCAAUUUAAAAUAGCCUAUAGUCUUGUACAUGCUAUUAUGAGAAAUAACAAGUGUCUUUAAAUUAAUAUGCUUUUUGUUAGUAAAAUACAGUGACAACC